UCAAAAUUGCCCCCACAAGAUAGAGUGUCUCUUUGACUUUUUUCCCGGAUCUCGGCUCUGCGUUUCUCCUCUCACCUCUCGGCUCUGCAUUUCUCCUCCUCUUCGGCUCGUAUUCUCUUCACCAACGCCCAACGUCUUCCUCUCUUCAUGGAAAGAAAGAAGGCGAAGGACGCAAUAAUUCUUUUAGAUUCAUGGCGAUUUUUCUCCGAAGAAGCAAGACACCAACAAACUAUCAAGGGUUAGAUUUCCAUACACGUGCACUACAACAAAGUAAAGUUCAUCUUUCUUGGGAUUAGGAUGAGCCUCAGCGUUUGAAGACCUUAAGAUGGAAAUUAAAUGAUGAUCAGAAAAGCUUGUGGCAGAGAGGGUGGUUCAGUCGAGGCAGUUCUUGGAAAGAAUCCUGAGGUCCAUUAUAUUUUUAUGUUUGUACCAAGGUCUGCGAUUCUAAUUUAUUGUAAAUUCUGUGAUUUAUUUUUGGCCCUGCUCUUAACCUUGGCAAUUCGUUUUUUCCUACCUGGCUUGGGGCUCUGUAAAUUUUUUCACCAAAAUGACCUGCCUUGAAACAAUGACUAGCUAUGGGCUAAGCGGGGGAUUCUUUAACCAUGCAUCUAAGGCCUAUUAGGCCUGUGUCUUGUGCAAGGAUAAGCGCACAACCGGGAUUGGAGCAUGAUAGCGACUGUUGAUAGAAGAAAGUGAAGAAUGCCUUUGUGAGUUGGUGUUGAGAUUUUUAUCCUCCAUACUUGGGUAUUCCAAGAGUGUGCUGUUUGUUUUCUUUUUAUAGAUAGAGUGUGUUGUUGUUGGAACUUGAAACGUUUGAUACCAAUGUAUUAUUUAUUACCUUACCGUACUCUUGAAUUUGUAUUUUAACUUACCGGAAAAACCGGGAACCACAAAUCUUCACUUCUUUCAUUACAGGAAGUAGCAGAGAAACUUAUGUUGCAUGA